AGAAUCAACGCUGGCGGCGUGCCUAACACAUGCAAGUCGAACGCGAAAGUGGAGCAAUCCAUGAGUAGAGUGGCAAACGGGUGAGUAACACGUGGGUGACCUGCCUUCGAGCGGGGGAUAACGUCCCGAAAGGGACGCUAAUACCGCAUAACAUCCUGCCUUUGAAGAGGUGGAGAUCAAAGCUGGGGAUCGCAAGACCCGGCACUUGAAGAGGGGCCCGCGUCUGAUUAGCUAGUUGGUGGGGUAACGGCCUACCAAGGCAACGAUCAGUA
rnacentral:rRNA from 1 species